rnacentral:rRNA from 1 species
UCCAACGGGAAUGCCACGCUGAUGCGAUUUCGGCCUAUAAUGCGGCCUUCGAGUGGCGGACGGGUGAGUAACGCGUGGGUAACCUGCCUUACACAGGGGGAUAACUUUCCAAAAAAGGCGCCCCUACCGCAUAAGCGCACAGGGCCGCAUGGCCCGGUGUGAAAAACUCCGGUGGUGUAAGAUGGACCCGCGUCUGAUUAGCUUGUUGGCGGGGUAGGGGCCCACCAAGGCGACGAUCAGUAGCCGGCCUGAGAGGGUGGACGGCCACAUUGGGACUGAGACACGGCCCAAACUCCUACGGGAGGCAGCAGUGGGGGAUAUUGGACAAUGGGUUUUAUUCUGAUCCAGCGACGCCGCGUGAGUGAAGAAGUAUUUCGGUAUGUAAAGUUUUUUUUUUUUCCCCCCCCCCAAGACGGCACCUGCCCCUUCCCCCACAGCGAGGGGGGUGCCAGCAGCCGCGGUAAUACGUAGGGGGCAAGCAUUAUCCGGAAUUACUGGGUGUAAAGGGAGCGUAGACGGUGAUGCAAGUCUGGAGUGAAAGGCGGGGGCCCAACCCCCGGACUGCUCUGGAAACUGUGUAACUUGAGUGCAGGAGAGGUAAGCGGAAUUC